UAGUUUCCGGGCACCGACGGCGCCACCCUUUACCCCCGGUUGGUGACACCAACCGGGACAAAAGGUUUUGUCCCGGUUGAAGUUACCAACCGGGAUAAACUUUUUACUCCCGAUUGGUAAGUCCAACCGGGAUAAAAGCUUCAAAGGUUGAAGCUUUUGUCCCAGUUGGCGUUAUCAACCGGGAGUAACCACCAACCGGGACAAAAGCUCUAAUCUUUUAUCCCGGUUGGAUUUACCAACCGGGAUAAAAUCUUAUCUACAAGUGCCCUUUCUUCCUCAUCCACUCCUCCAGCCCGAGCCACUCCACUCCACAAAGACAGAGAAGCUCAUCCUCUCUAUGGCGCCGAAGCAAGCCUAGGGGAGGUGCUGCUGAAAUUUUUUUCCUCAUUUCUGUGGGAAUUUCACCCAUCCAAAGUGUUGUGAAGGUUAGCUACUUCAUGCUCCGUUCAUUUAUUGUUGUUAAGCUUUGUUUUAUACUUUAGAGAGGGAAAAAAAUUAGUUUGUUAGUUGUUAAGCAUGUAGAGGAUUUGUAUUUAUACAUAUUUUUGAGCUACAAUUUGAUGGAUAGUUUCAAUGUGAGGGAGAAUGGACAGUAAUUGUGAGGUAGAAUUGAGAUUAUUUCAAUUUUAUGUAUUAGGGAAAAAUUAGAGUAUAUGUGUUUUUAAUACUUAUAAAUUAGCCAUAUAAAUUGUAGGUAUAAUUGUAUACUUUAGUACUUUUCAGAUAGAGGUAUGUAAUUAGCCAUUUUUAGAAUAAGUACAUUAUGUGGGAAAUAUUGAAUUUUUUAAUAGUUUAGUUAUUUGUAAAUUAAAUAUGAGAUAAAUAAUUUGUGUAUGUCUAUGUAAACUUUCAGCAAUAUUUGAGUUUGUCGUACUGUAUGAUGCUGUUUGCUUCUGAAAUUUUAAUUUGUGUAUUUCUAUCUAAAUUUGUAGUAAUAUGAUGGAUAGUUUUAUUGUAAUCCAUUUUAUUGAUGGCUUGCGUAAUAC
rnacentral:lncRNA from 1 species